GACAGAGGGUGCAAACGUUGUUCGGAAUUACUGGGCGUAAAGCGAGUGUAGGCGGUCCGAAAAGUCGGGUGUGAAAGCCCCGGGCUCAACCCGGGAAGUGCACUCGAUACUGUUGGGCUAGAGUAUCGGAGAGGUUGGUGGAAUUCUCGGUGUAGAGGUGAAAUUCGUAGAUAUCGAGAGGAACACCGGCGGCGAAGGCGGCCAACUGGACGAAUACUGACGCUGAGACUCGAAAGCGUGGGGAGCAAACAGG
rnacentral:rRNA from 1 species